UACGUAGGUGGCAAGCGUUAUCCGGAAUUAUUGGGCGUAAAGCGCGCGCAGGCGGUCCUUUAAGUCUGAUGUGAAAGCCCACGGCUCAACCGUGGAGGGUCAUUGGAAACUGGGGGACUUGAGUGCAGAAGAGGAGAGCGGAAUUCCACGUGUAGCGGUGAAAUGCGUAGAGAUGUGGAGGAACACCAGUGGCGAAGGCGGCUCUCUGGUCUGUAACUGACGCUGAGGAGCGAAAGCCAGGGGAGCAAACGGG
rnacentral:rRNA from 1 species